AAAGACCUAUAGGACUUUCUCCUACAUCAC
rnacentral:tRNA from 1 species